rnacentral:rRNA from 1 species
UACGUAGGGACCAAGCGUUGUCCGGAAUCAUUAGGCGUAAAGAGCGUGUAGGCGGCUUGUUAAGUCUUGCGUGAAAUCUCGGGGCUCAACCCCGAGCGGUCGUGAGAAACUGGCAGGCUAGAGUGCGGGAGAGGAGAGUGGAAUUCCUGGUGUAGCGGUGAAAUGCGCAGAUAUCAGGAAGAACACCCGUGGCGAAGGCGGCUCUCUGGAACGCAACUGACGCUGAGACGCGAAAGCGUGGGGAGCAAACAGG